CGACCGAGCUAUAAGAUUGUUGACUAGGAGGAAUUACGCAAAAUGAAACUGCAAUCUAUUAAAACGGAUUCGAAAUUCAAAAGCACAAGAUUUCCGGAGACAUUCAGACGAUUUGGACACCAAAAAUGCCCGAUCCAGACCUCAAUGAAUAUUUAUUUCAAUCCUUCAGUUGAAUUUCGCCACAAAAUUGCACAACCAUCGACAGAUGCUAUCUAAAAUUCAAAUAUUUAUCAUUUCAGAUAAUAUUCAGUUCCCCUGGUAUACAAACUUGGAAACUUCAAGUACUCCUCCAUGUUCUACAUCUUCUCUAUUUUCGCAGUCCGAAGGUCUGGAUGCUGAUUAUUAUGUAUGAUAUAUAGGUCAAAUGCAGCUGUUGCUAACAAUCGAUAUAGGACUUGAAUUACAUAUUAAAAUUCGUGAAAUUGCGUCAACUCAGCGUUUAAGGUCGAGUACCAAACGCCAGAGGCUUUCACGAACUUGGGAGGUACACGACAGCAUUAUAUAAAGCGCCAUGUGCACACUUCAGGUCCUCCUUCCGCCAACGACAGUAUAGUAGAUGCAUUGUCGCAAUCUCGGACUCUCCACUGCCAAAAGAAAAAAUGAUAUUUCCCCAGGAUUCAUGUACUCGAGAGAAGUAUGUAUUUUCAUAAAAACGUUAUCUCUCCAGGUGCGUCAGCUUCAGGUGCUCUCGACUAGAUCUUACCGAAGAUAAUCAUAAUGCUCCAGAGGAUGGCCAUGUUGGCUGUCACCUUGACUAGUCUCGACCAAUAAUUAUUACUGAAGAAU